CGAACGCUGGCGGCGUGCUUAACACAUGCAAGUCGAACGGAAAGGCCCUGCUUUUGUGGGGUGCUCGAGUGGCGAACGGGUGAGUAACACGUGAGUAACCUGCCCUUGACUUUGGGAUAACUUCAGGAAACUGGGGCUAAUACCGGAUAGGAGCUCCUGCUGCAUGGUGGGGGUUGGAAAGUUUCGGCGGUUGGGGAUGGACUCGCGGCUUAUCAGCUUGUUGGUGGGGUAGUGGCUUACCAAGGCUUUGACGGGUAGCCGGCCUGAGAGGGUGACCGGCCACAUUGGGACUGAGAUACGGCCCAGACUCCUACGGGAGGCAGCAGUGGGGAAUAUUGCACAAUGGGCGGAAGCCUGAUGCAGCAACGCCGCGUGCGGGAUGACGGCCUUCGGGUUGUAAACCGCUUUCGCCUGUGACGAAGCGUGAGUGACGGUAAUGGGUAAAGAAGCACCGGCUAACUACGUGCCAGCAGCCGCGGUGAUACGUAGGGUGCGAGCGUUGUCCGGAUUUAUUGGGCGUAAAGGGCUCGUAGGUGGUUGAUCGCGUCGGAAGUGUAAUCUUGGGGCUUAACCCUGAGCGUGCUUUCGAUACGGGUUGACUUGAGGAAGGUAGGGGAGAAUGGAAUUCCUGGUGGAGCGGUGGAAUGCGCAGAUAUCAGGAGGAACACCAGUGGCGAAGGCGGUUCUCUGGGCCUUUCCUGACGCUGAGGAGCGAAAGCGUGGGGAGCGAACAGGCUUAGAUACCCUGGUAGUCCACGCUGUAAACGGUGGGUACUAGGUGUGGGGUCCAUUCCACGGGUUCCGUGCCGUAGCUAACGCUUUAAGUACCCCGCCUGGGGAGUACGGCCGCAAGGCUAAAACUCAAAGGAAUUGACGGGGCCCCGCACAAGCGGCGGAGCAUGCGGAUUAAUUCGAUGCAACGCGUAGAACCCUACCUGGGUUUGACAUGGAUCGGGAGUGCUCAGAGAUGGGUGUGCCUCUUUUGGGGUCGGUUCACAGGUGGUGCAUGGCUGUCGUCAGCUCGUGUCGUGAGAUGUUGGGUUAAGUCCCGCAACGAGCGCAACCCUUGUUCACUGUUGCCAGCACGUUAUGGUGGGGACUCAGUGGAGACCGCCGGGGUCAACUCGGAGGAAGGUGGGGAUGACGUCAAGUCAUCAUGCCCCUUAUGUCCAGGGCUUCACGCAUGCUACAAUGGCUGGUACAGAGAGUGGCGAGCCUGUGAGGGUGAGCGAAUCUCGGAAAGCCGGUCUCAGUUCGGAUUGGGGUCUGCAACUCGACCUCAUGAAGUCGGAGUCGCUAGUAAUCGCAGAUCAGCAACGCUGCGGUGAAUACGUUCCCGGGGCUUGUACACACCGCCCGUCAAGUCAUGAAAGUUGGUAACACCCGAAGCCGGUGGCCUAACCGUUGUGGGGGAGCCGUCGAAGGUGGGACUGGUGAUUAGGACUA
rnacentral:rRNA from 1 species